rnacentral:lncRNA from 1 species
CCUUUGGAGCGUGCAGCCACCAGGUGGCAGCCGAGGCCACGGGCAGACAGAAAAGCUCCCGAAACUGAAGGACUGCCAGGCAGCAGAGUUCCGGAGGGCUCCCAGGACCUUCAACCAGAAAGAGACAGAGCAUAUGCGCAUAUCAGCCCUGCAAGGAAUGUACUAUAGAGCCAAUUUUACCGGCAAAGGAAUGGAAGAUCUGAAAGGCUAGGCGAUCCCACAAGCAUCGAGGAGCAGGCUGGAAUUUGAACCAAUCGGCAUGAUUCCCAAGCUCAAGCUUUUGGCCACCCCUGCACUGCCAGGGACAAAAAAAAAAAAAAAAAAAAACCCUGGGAGGAGAGCCAAGCUAGGGAGUCAAGACCCUCCAGCCAGGUCUGGAUGGGAGGCAGGUGCCUCCACCCUGGUCCCAGAGCAAGUU